AAUUUAGCAGAGAUGCUUUAGUGCCUUCGGGAACUCUGAGACAGGUGCUGCAUGGCUGUCGUCAGCUCGUGUUGUGAAAUGUUGGGUUAAGUCCGCAACGAGCGCAACCCUUAUCCUUUGUUGCCAGCACGUAAUGGUGGGAAACUCAAAGGAGACUGCCGGUGAUAAACCGGAGGAAGGUGGGGAUGACGUCAAGUCAUCAUGGCCCUUACGAGUAGGGCUACACACGUGCUACAAUGGCGUAUACAAAGAGAAGCGACCUCGCGAGAGCAAGCGGACCUCAUAAAGUGCGUCGUAGUCCGGAUUGGAGUCUGCAACUCGACUCCAUGAAGUCGGAAUCGCUAGUAAUCGUAAAUCAGAAUGUUACGGUGAAUACGUUCCCGGGCCUUGUACACACCGCCCGUCACACCAUGGGAGUGGGUUGCAAAAGAAGUAGAUAGCUUAACCUUCGGGAGGGCGUUUACCACUUUGUGAUUCAUGACUGGGGUGAAGUCGUAACAAGGUAGGCGUAGUGCU
rnacentral:rRNA from 1 species